rnacentral:rRNA from 1 species
UACGAAGGGGGCUAGCGUUGCUCGGAAUUACUGGGCGUAAAGGGCGCGUAGGCGGCCCGUUAAGUCCGCUGUGAAAGACCGAGGCUCAACCUCGGGGCGUCAGCGGAGACUGGGGGGCUGGAGUCUCGGAGAGGGAUGCGGAAUACCUGGUGUAGCGGUGGAAUGCGUAGAGAUCAGGUGGAACACCGAUGGCGAAGGCAGCAUCCUGGCCGAGUACUGACGCUGAGGCGCGAAAGCGUGGGGAGCGAACGGG